rnacentral:lncRNA from 1 species
CGCGUACAGACACAUCCAAAGUUCCAAAAAUUUCAGUCAUCUCUCAAGACUUAUAUAUAUUCAAACUUAGGAGUCUUAAAACUAUCAUAGAACAUGCAUAGGAAAUAAAUAUGAAUUUUCUGUUGUUAUUAACAAUGACUCAUUGUGAAAAGCCAAAAGAAUUUUUUUUCAAAUUUAAUUUAAUCAUACAUAACGCCUUAUUACCUUACCUUGACAAACAGUAAAUGCAAAAAUAUAAACCCAAGGGGCAUGUUUAUCAAAUGCAGAACCACAGGUCACCCACCAGGCUGGUGUGAAGAAAUGACAUUUUCAAAACGCGUUGCAUUUAGACAAUUGUAGGAUACGUCACAGCAUCAAGUACAACUGAAAAACAAACAAAGAAAACAGCCUCUCUCUCCUGCACAUUCCUUUGGAAAAAGAGUGCUUUGAAAAAGGCAGCCGGAAAUUAAUAAGCAAAUGGUAACAAUCACAGCUGUGAAGCACUGCAGGAUCCCCAGGCGAAUCUCAAAACACUUGAUGUUUCUCAGCGUGGACUCCUG